AAUAUUGCGCAAUGGGGGAAACCCUAACGCAGCAAUGCCACGUGAGUGAGGAAGGUCUUCGGAUUGUAAAACUCUUUUAAUAGGGAAAAACGGCAUUUAGUCGAAUAGGCUAAGUGUUUGAUGGUACCUAUAGAAAAAGCACCGGCUAACUUCGUGCCAGCAGCCGCGGUAAUGCGAAGGGUGCAAGCGUUGUUCGGAUUUACUGGGCGUAAAGAGCGCGUAGGCGGAUGAGAAAGUCAGGUGUGAAAUCUCGGAGCUCAACUCCGAAACUGCGCCUGAAACUUCUUGUCUAGAAUCUCAGAGGGGGAAGGGGAAUUUCACAUGUAGGGGUAAAAUCCGUAGAGAUGUGAAGGAACGCUCGAGGCGAAAGCGCCUUCCUGGAUGAGUAUUGACGCUGAGGCGCGAAAGCGUGGGGAGCAAACAGGAUUAGAUACCCUGGUAGUCCACGCCGUA
rnacentral:rRNA from 1 species